rnacentral:rRNA from 1 species
AGGAGUUUGAUCCUGGCUCAGGACGAACGUUGGCGGUGCGCUUAAUGCAUGCAAGUCGAGGGAGAAGCAUUUGUUCCGUAAGGUUCAGAUGUGGAAACCGGCGAACGGGUGCGUAACACGUGAGAAACCUGCCCCCUUGACCGGGAUAGCCCGAGGAAACUCGGAUUAAUACCGGAUACUCUCUUUGGACCGCAUGGUCCGCUGAGGAAACAGUCCGCUGCUAGGGGAUGGUCUCGCGGCCUAUCAGGUAGUUGGUGAGGUAACGGCUCACCAAGCCUAAGACGGGUAGCUGGUCUGAGAGGACGAUCAGCCACACUGGAACUGAGACACGGUCCAGACUCCUACGGGAGGCAGCAGCAGGGAAUAUUGCACAAUGGGCGAAAGCCUGAUGCAGCGACACCGCGUGCGGGAUGACGGCCUUAGGGUUGUAAACCGCUUUCAGGAGGGAAGAAAAUGACGGUACCUCCAGAAGAAGCUCCGGCCAACUACGUGCCAGCAGCCGCGGUAAUACGUAGGGAGCAAACGUUGUCCGGAUUUAUUGGGCGUAAAGGGCUCGUAGGCGGUUCAACAAGUCGAUCGUGAAAGCCCGGGGCUCAACCCCGGGAGGCCGGUCGAAACUGUUGUGACUAGAGUUCGGUAGAGGUGAGUGGAAUUCUCGGUGUAGCGGUGGAAUGCGCAGAUAUCGAGAGGAACACCAUU